AAGAGGGAGGAGACCAGCAUGUAUGGUCCAGGCUUUUGCCCCAACAAGCCUCAUGAGGUUGGGUAUGCCCCUUGACCAUUCCACACAUUAGUUUCCUC